rnacentral:sRNA from 1 species
GGAGAGCCAAAAGAGGAAAGUUAGAGAGUGUAGAAAGAUGGCUCCUGGGGAAAAGCACUGCUGGGCUUUGGCAGGAUUUGGAGCUGUGGGGAUUCUCACCUUGAACUCAGAAGACUUUGAUAAAGUCCCCAGAGAACUGAUGAAUCUGUAAGGUUAGAUUGCCCGUUGCUGGUUAUAGGGCACAUGGAGGAAUAGGCUUAGUGUGAUAAGACUUGCUUUAAAGGAUUACCAGUGAAAGGUGAUGAUGUCAGAUUUUGAGGGUGCGGGACUCAAAAAUUGGUCUUUCUCUUGUACUAUGCUGUGUCCCUUGCCAAGUGUCCUUAAUGCCACCAGGGAUACAACUGUCAUGCUCUUGGCCUUAACCCAAUAAAGUGUGGUACUACUUUAUCCAUAUUCAACUGAGCAAUUUCUUCCACAGCACGGUCCUUCCUCCUCCUCCUCUUUGAACCUGACAGGCUUAUUCCUGAGUCUUAAACACCGAUGGCUGACAGCGCUGGCGUCCAGCUUCUGAAUGGGAAGUAUGUGGGGAUGACCAUGCUAUUCUGAGUGGGGGGAAGGGGAUGGUGAGCAAAUAGGUCAAGGCCGGCUUUCUCAUUCUGAGCCUGUUUUUCCAGCUUGUCCUAUGCAGUGCAUUCCCUGGAACAUCUUUAAGGAAUGAGUUAUGUAUUGAUAUUCGUUCCUGUAAAGUCAUCCACAGCGGAUAUGGUUUACUUGAGAGGAUUAGCACACUGGUGCUGUGCGUUUUCCAAGUGAAUUUAAUGACCACAGCUAAGACCCGUGCAUCUACGCAUGAAGACGCAAUGGAACCUUAACUAAGACACACGGUCUGGGGUCUUGCACUAAAUUUCAUCGUGAAAGCUAGUCAAACAUCAGUGAUCGCCACUCAUUGCUUUGUGACUGGAGACAAUCUAGAGCUGUAUCCGUUUCCAGAUGCCACGACUUCUCUGUCAUGAUGGACUGCACCCUUAAACUGUGAGCAAAAAAAUAAAUCUUCCCUUCCUUAAGUUGCUCUUGUCAUAGCACUGAGAAAAUAUAAACAUAACAGGUUGAAAGAGAAUGAAACAGAGCAAAAAAUAUCAGUUAAAAUGGUACACUGCUUACAAUAGAGUUUGUGCAUGAAAACUUUAUUUAAAUGUAUGUAUGCAUUGAUUAUGUGCACAUAUUUAGUGAUAGUUUAACACAUAUUUCUUAUCAUAACUGGCAAGAGUAAAUCUGUUUAAAAUAUCUAGGUAAAAUGUGAGCUCCACAAAGGUACAGUUCUAUAUGUCCACAAUGAUAUCUCCUGUAGCCGAAACAGAUCCUGCUACAUGGCAAAUAAAUAUUUCUGAAUAAACAAAUGGCUUUGUGAUUUAAUUGGUUCCCCAACCUACUAAAAAUAAAGCUGUCUUAUACAUUUCAUUGCAACUAGUGAAAGUAUGUGUGAUAAAAUGAUAUAAGGCAGGUGUGGAAUCAUUCAACAGGUUUACCCUCCUCCACCAGCAUUGCCCCUUCUACUCCCUUUUGUCAUUCUUCCUUCUUUAUUCUCAAAGACUGAGUCAAUUUGGGGACAAAUUUAUAAUCCCCUGGAUCUCAUAAAGAUUUGCCACUGGGAUUCUUCAAGACCAAAAUAGGUCCAUUCAAGAUUUAAAAAAAAAAAAAAGCACUAAUGUCUUUCCCUAGACAGGCCUCAUCUAGCCUAAGCCAGCCUUGAAUUCACUAUGUAGCUAGGAUAACUUUCAAUUCCAGAUUCUUUCGCCUUCUCCUCCCAAGGACCAAGAUUACGUGAUGUACCAGCACUUCUGGACCACAUCUGUAUCCUCAAGGCUGCUCAGGAAGCAGCUACUUUGUGAGUGCCAGGAAUCCCAUUUGAUUGGAGUGUACCAGGUCAGAGUGCGGACCAGUGGUCUUUCUCAAGGUUGUGAGAUUUAAAAAAAAAUCCUGAUUUAUGAUUUAUAAGGGCUGAUGGGAGGUUCUACAGGAAUGGUUAGAUGCAGCAGGACCUAGGUUUAGGAAUCUAAAUUUUCUCUUCGGGCUUUUCUUAGUCAUUCCUUUGCCUGAACAACUCCUGCCCUUUUUGAUUUCUUUCUUUUGAAGGAAUCACCAGGCCAUCUUAGAUUCUAAGCCCAACCUCAUAGUUUCAUGCAUUUUUAAUUGAUAUAUUUGUGAAGGGAAAAUUUAAAUCUCUUUUGGGCUUGUAAGGAGACUGGGAAACAGUACUUCCUUUGUCUAACAACAACAGCAGCAGCAGCAGCAGCAGCAGCAGCAGCAGCAGCAGCAGCAGCAGCAACAACAACAACAGCAACAACUCCAGCUAAGUGCUUCAGAAAGGGACCUAAUCGGGCCUCAGCUGGAUCCCCCUGGCUUGUGAUCUGAAGAUUCAGUGACAGUUGCUGUGUGACAGUUUAUCCAGAGGGGGAGGAGGACUGUUGAGAACAAACAUAAUAAAGUCAAGAGAGGCGAAAGGAAACUGGAUGCUAAUGCUUUAUUGCACAUGGUGUUGUCUUUCUUGAAGAUAAAAGAGGUAAAAUUCAGUAUUGUUUCAGCUUUCUUGUGAAUUACUAUGCAGUUUCAGACAGCAUAAAGCAAAGUCCUUCAUACAGAGCAUUGCCACACAUUUCUAGCCCAGUUAAAAUAAUCAAGUAAGCCCGUGGCUUGACAGGAAGAAGGGAAAGACAGUAUAUUAAAGAAAUUUUAAAGUAUUUCUGAGAAAUAUAGGGGACACAUUUACAUUCUUUUCAUCAAAAAAACCCCCACUGUGUUUAUGUGUAGUCACGUGUGUGUUUGUGUGUCCACAUGCACGUAUGUAUACUUAUUUUCCAUCCCACUUUGAAAAAGUAUCUAUUGGGCACAGUUUCUCACCUCUUGUUCCAAAGCUUAGAGAACUGGAAAAUUUAAGAUUUGUAUAACUUCUUGUAUCAGACAGGGAUGACCAAGAUGGAAAUAACUUAAAUAAUAUCUUAGUUAUGAGCAGCCAAAGAUGAGCUUGAACUGAAGGAAGGUUGACACGGGACUUUAUCCUCUGUGAUAUGUGAGUUAUGGAUAUGGUCAGCAGCCACAACUGGACUCAGUGAACAGUUGCUGGGUGUGUCACGGGCUGUCAGGGAUGGAGAUCUCUGAAGCAUCAUCGGUGCACAGCACAUACACGGCUUUUCUGAGUUACCGUUACAGAGCAUAGAAGAGGCACCAAGCAAGUGUAGACUUGAUGUGCCAAGAUUGGCUUACAAAUUACAUUUCAGGCAAAAAGGAUAACUUUCUGACAGGUAAGUCAGUGGGGACUUUCUUAAAUAUCCCUGUCACUUCUUCAGGAUCAAGCUUCGUGUAUAAUGCCUUCCCUGUCACACUGUAAGAAAUGAGGACACUUCCGGGUAGAUGACUUUGUUAGUGCCCUAGCAUGCCUAAUCCGUACGACGUCACAACUUGUUUGAGCUAGUUUUGCAAAGACAGAAUGAGAAGACACUGUUGAGGCUUGGCCUUUUUGCUAUGUGUUGUGAUGCUCGAUACUGGCCUCCAAGGCCUGGUUGCCCCAGGGAUGAGAGAAUCUGCAUGCACACAAAGUAAUGCUACAUGACUUUGCUUCUUAAUUUAAAACUACUGGUUGGAUAAAGAUGUCUACAGUCUAACGCUGAGCAGAAGAGAGGAAGAUGGAGUCUCAAUUCCCUGGCUGGGUGUCUGAGGAGGACCACGAGGAGAGAGAGAAGAAGGUGGAGAGAGGAGAAGACACCAUGGAGUAGGUGAGACAUGAACGUCUGGCCAUGAGAGCGGCCAAUAGGAGUUAAGAGCAGCCCAGAGGGAACACGGUAAGUAGUAACUUGGGGUUAUUGAUAAGGAAGUAGACAUAAUAACAUAAAGGGUAGAUAUCUGCCCAGCUCUACUGCUCAAAGGCUUAUUAUAAAUAUAAAGGUUGUAUGUCUUUUAUCUGAGAACUGAAGAUCAAAGGUGAGGUAGAAACCCUCAAUUAAGAUUAAAUAUUCACUACAGUAAAACCCAAAUGGACUUAUAUAUCAAAAAAUAAAUACAAAAAGACACAAGCAAAGAAGCAGGUGUCUUGGUCCCUCCCUUGAGAGCUGGGCACGGGCCAAAUAGGACCACAUGCCAUGUCCCCUACAGUCGCACAAGUGCCCUUCUCCGUGUAGACAGACUGAAUUCUGGGAACUUGAGCUGUGACAGGGGAGAUAAAAUGUUAGUGUCUAUCCUCUGUGGCAUUUGGGGGUUUAUAUUUCAAACGGUUCAGAUAUGUAUCACCACAUAGCGGAAGCAUAGUUCCCAGGAUGUCCGUGACUUAAAUUAGAAGAGGAAAGUCCCUGAACUUUUUUCAAAUUGCAGUUUUGGAAAUGAGCCCCGAGCUCUUGCUUCAAGCCCAGGGCUGGUCGGCAGUGGCCACAUUUUAUUUUGAUUACUGUUGACAGUCAUCAGCCUGGCUACCCUAAGCUGUAUAUCAGCAAGGACAGUUUCACCUCUAACGUCUCCCUUCCUCUAAAUAAAGCAAAUGCUUCCCCUUUCCUUCUGCCAUUAGAUGUCUGCCGUGUUGCUGCCUAACGUUUGAUCUGCAUUGUUCUUAUUUUCUUCCUGUGAUAAAGGUUGUACACUAUACACAUGAGAUCUGGAGGUGCCUGGACCUCUCUGAGUCGAGCUCACUCUUUUGAAGAGCGUUACAACUUUUAUAUCUGGGUUCUCUAUGAGCACGAUAUUGCUAAAUAAAGCCAUGUAAUGGUCACAGUUUAGAACUUACCCUAAACCUUUCUCUUUUUUUCACAUUUAGUAACUGAUGGGUUAAAUGAAUGAAAAACUGAAGGGUGGCUUCUAGAAUCCUGGGGAUAGAAGUGGACUUAGUCUGUGAUUGACAGGCUUGCUCCGUUCUGAGUAGCUCACCGCUUGGGUGAUCCUCAAGACAAUCCUCAAGACAAUCAGACACAUCUCUGAAGUGUCUGCUUUUGAAGUCUGAACAAGACAGAGGUAUCUCCUCUUUGUGGGCAGCCAAUAGACGUCAACUUUAUGAACAGGGCUCAGUAACUGCGACAGCCGCUCCAGCUGAGGAAAAGGACACUUGAUUCUGCUUAGGCUCAGAGGAGCUGUGGUCCUACAGAAUGAGUGCACGCAGGGCAGGGUGAUGGUCGCUUGUGAAGGAUGGGAACAACACAUGCACCGUGUGCACUCUUCUAAAUGGUAACGCCCAGAUUAGUUUUCUCAAGAUAUACUGUCUUCCAUCCCUGCAAAAAUAGCUCCUAGUUUGCUCAGAGCAGUGUGGACAGGUCCUCUUUUCAUCGAGUCUCUGGGAAAUGUGCUACAGGAUACCAGCCAGCCAGGGUAGGGUGACAGACUCCCUGAUGGAAGGCCUAUGAGCUCAUUCCCGACUCGAAUAGAGCAUUACAGGAACGGUCUUGCCAACAAACUUCGUCUGGUGUUAAAAUCUGGACAACAGGGCCCAACCUCACAAAGAUUUUCUUUGACUGGAUUAUUCACAGUGGAAAAGAAGAGACAAAUGUUCUCUUCAACUGACUUUUGUUGUGAACUAGAAAUAUCCAGGAAUUAAGCAAAGCUACUCUCUGCCUUUUGAACUGGACACGGGGUGGGUGUGUGCAUCUGAGGGGACAGUGGUAGAGAAUGCUGAGUUUGAUUAUCACAGGAAGCCAGUGACAUUGAAAGGCAGUGUAAAGGUCAUUUAAACAGGUGACCAUAUCCAAACAGUUCAUUCUAUAAACCCACUGAACAGUCAUAGAUCCAGAGAAGAGUCAUUUAGACAAAACAACAAACAAACACAUUACUAAGUUCAAACCCCUCUCUUCCAGGAUGCGGAUGCUUGGUUUCCAUCCAGCUGGCCGACUGACUGGGAUGUGGCCUGGAGGAACAGGAGCUGUUUGAGGACAGGGGAUGAGGGAAAAGAUCUCUGAAGGCUUGUUUGCCGCUCCUUUGGUGACACGUGUUGGUUGUUAACAGACCACUAGGCUAUGAAUUUGGACUCUUCCAGCUAAAUAAAUAUGCGUUACAUUUACAUACCCAUCUAGUCCAGUGGGAACCGAUUAGUAACGUCAUGUCUGCAUCAGACAGGAAUUCACUUUCUCGCCAGGUUUCAGUGAUGCGGUGAUAUCCUGAGAGACAUCCCGCUGAAAUCAGAACAGCACCUUGGUUCCCACCAAACAAAUAAAUCCCACAUGCAUCUGGGAGUUGGUGAUGGUUUUUUCCUAUCCAAGAAUGAUGAGAUUUCUGAGUCCCUAAAUGCUUGAAAAUACAGACAUGCUAGACAUUCACUUGACAAGCUUUGCAUGUAUCUUGCAGAGAGAUUUUCAAUGUAGAAGAGGGAGCAGGCUACGUGUGGUGGCGCACGCCUGUAAUCUCAGCACAAAGGCGGGAAAUGUUUGCUGAAAGUUUGAAGAAAUCCUGAUCUACGAAGGCAGUUCCAGACCAGCCAAGGAUACACUGAGCUUGUGUCAGACAAACACGUAGGACUGGGGAGGUGUCUCAGGGAUUAAAAGCACCUACUGCUCUUGCAGAGGACCAAAGUUCAAUUCUCAGCACCCACAUAGGGUAGCUUUCAACCUCCUAUAACUCUACAUCUAAGUCACCUAAUGGUCUCCUCAGGAUUCCAUGAUGCCUGGACACACAGACAUAUACACACACACAGAAAAGACACACAUACACAGAUACACACAAAGACACACAGA